rnacentral:rRNA from 1 species
CAGUCGCCGCGGUAAUACGGAGGGGGCUAGCGUUGUUCGGAAUUACUGGGCGUAAAGCGCACGUAGGCGGCUUUACAAGUCAGAGGUGAAAGCCUGGAGCUCAACUCCAGAAUUGCCUUUGAGACUGUAUCGCUUGAGCACGGGAGAGGUGAGUGGAAUUCCGAGUGUAGAGGUGAAAUUCGUAGAUAUUCGGAAGAACACCAGUGGCGAAGGCGGCUCACUGGACCGUUGUUGACGCUGAGGUGCGAAAGCGUGGGGAGCAAACAGGAUUAGAUACCCCGGUAGUCCCUGUCUCUUAUAC